AUACGGAGGAUGCGAGCGUUAUCCGGAUUUAUUGGGUUUAAAGGGAGCGUAGGUGGGAUAUUAAGUCAGCUGUGAAAGUUUGGGGCUCAACCUUAAAAUUGCAGUUGAUACUGGUUUCCUUGAGUACGGUACAGGUGGGCGGAAUUCGUGGUGUAGCGGUGGAAUGCUUAGAUAUCACGAAGAACUCCGAUCGCGAAGGCAGCUCACCGGGCCGGAACUGACACUGAUGCUCGAAAGUGCGGGUAUCAAACAGGAUUAGAUACCCUGGUAGUCCGCACAGUAAACGAUGAAUACUCGCUGUUUGCGAUACACGGUAAGCGGCCAAGCGAAAGCGUUAAGUAUUCCACCUGGGGAGUACGCCGGCAACGGUGAAACUUAAAGGAAUUGACGGGG
rnacentral:rRNA from 1 species